GACGUAGGGCGCGAGCGUUGUCCGGAUUUAUUGGGCGUAAAGAGCUCGUAGGCGGCUUGUCGCGUCGACCGUGAAACCUCACAGCUCAACUGUGAGCCUGCGGUCGAUACGGGCAGGCUAGAGUUCGGUAGGGGAGACUGGAAUUCCUGGUGUAGCGGUGAAAUGCGCAGAUAUCAGGAGGAACACCGGUGGCGAAGGCGGGUCUCUGGGCAGUAACUGACGCUGAGGAGCGAAAGCGUGGGGAGCGAACAGG
rnacentral:rRNA from 1 species